GUGACUAUUGGGUUCCUCUGUUUUCCCCUGUUUCAACCCUAAUUCCCCAGAAAAUUCGAUCUUUCCUUGCUUCUUUCCCUGAGAUAAUUCUGGGUUUGCGGCUCUGACUCCGUUGGAUUAAAGGGUUUUCUUCAAAGACGCAUUUUGGUUUCGAUAGAGGAUAAAAGUUUCCUCUUUUGAGUCGGCUUUGGGGUUGAUGGAGGCUCGUGUGGGGAACAAGUUUCGGCUCGGACGCAAAAUCGGGAGCGGUUCUUUUGGAGAGAUCCAUCUCGGUACUCAUCUUCAAACGAAUGAAGAAGUCGCCAUCAAGCUUG